CCGGCCUCCGAGGUCUUGUGGCCCCAGCGCCUCCUGUGUGCCGCGUGUGUCAUCGGGAGUGGGUAGGACCGGAGGCAGGGUGAGCACACGGCGCCACGUGUCCCUGUGGGACAGAAGCUGGCCCCACGACCAGCCGUGCCCGGGAGAGACUCACUGUCCUCCAGGCCAUGGAGACUCACAGCCUCCAUCGGGGGCUGUAACGAGGCCAUGGCAGCUGAGUAGGACUUCACGGACUAGUAGACGUUCCCCUACGGGGCCCUGGGGAGGAGGACCCUUCAGGAAGGGGGACAGUGUGCACAGGGUGUCGGAAGGGUGCAGAGCCUGUCCAGCAUCCACUGCAGGCUGGGGUCCCUCCAGGGCAGGGCAGCGGGAAGCCCAGUGUCGCCCCGGCCCAGGCCGUGUCCUGGGGAGUGUGACCCAGAGGGCGGCUGGGCUGUGAGCUCUCUGCCCCUUCUGAGAGGCCGGGUCCCGUCCCCAGACACUGACUGGACAGCAUGUGGAGGCCCUGCUGCCCCCGCCCACCCAAACUCGGGUGGCUCUGUUUCCUCGGAUUUUGCCAGGAAGCUGCCCCGGUGUCUCGUCCUGGAACAAUUUUAUUUGCUUUUCUCUGCAGGAAUAUGAACAGGUGUGUUUUGAAGGACGGGUCCCCUGAGGCCACGAACAGGAUCUACUCCGAAUGCGGGCAGGAGGUUCCCCAAAUCUACCUGGAGGAUGUUCAUGAGGCUCACAGGACUGGAGGACAACGACCUUGUCAUCUGUGAGCAUGGGGACCCGGGGACCCUGACAGAGCAGCCCCACAGGAUGCUGCUGCGCUGGCAGAGCGAGCUGGGGCGCACCACGUCCCCCCGCGGGCUCAUGGCGGCCCUCCGUGAGAUGCGGCUGCAGGGGCGUCUGGAGAAUAUUAUAAACAAGUUAGUUACAGAAAAUAUCUUAGGUAGUGAGGAUGCAGAGCCCUGAACUAGAGUCAGCUCUUCCGGCAACGACUGGGAUUUAGCAGCAUCCUGGGUGCUGACCUUCCCCAGGUCCCUUCCCGUGGGCGCCUUCACAGAUCCCAGAUGGGACGGAGCCCCUUCCGUGUCCAAGGAGCUUCUUCUGGAAGCUUCCGAUGGGGAGGACCAUGCCAGCCGGGGGCUCUCUGCCUACAGCCCAUGUGGCCUACAGGCUGCCCCUCAGGGAAUCCUGAGCUGCUUGGAAAGGGACCCACUGGCUGUGCUCGGUGGGCCCACGAGCCGUGGCCUCCUCCAGAAACACAGGCCAGGAGGGCUGGCUGGUCCUGGGUGUGACCCCAGCAGCUCUCUUGUCCAUCUCUCAGGCACUGUGAUGUCCCCUGGCUUCCACUUGGGAGCGCCAUACCAGGGUGACACUUAAGUCAGUCUGUGACAGACAAACCAGCAGGCACUCAGCUGUCACUAGGUUAGCUGGGGUGGGACAUGGGGACCAUCACAUGCCACCUAUAGAGGCCUUUGUACAGUUCUUUACACAUUUAAGCAUAGGUGCUUUUACAGUUUUAUUUAUGUGUUAAAAUUUCUCUUACAUAGUGUGUUCACAUGUUUGUAGAAAUUUUUUCACCCAGUAAAAUUUAUAUUCUGAA